GGCGAACGGGUGAGUAAUAUAUCGGAACGUGCCUAGUAGUGGGGAACAACCAGCCGAAAGGUUGGCUAAUACCGCAUACGACCUACGGGUGAAAGCAGGGGAUCUUCGGACCUUGCGCUAUUAGAGCGGCCGAUAUCUGAUUAGGUAGUUGGUGGGGUAAAGGCCUACCAAGCCGACGAUCAGUAGCUGGUCUGAGAGGACGAUCAGCCACACUGGAACUGAGACACGGUCCAGACUCCUACGGGAGGCAGCAGUGGGGAAUUUUGGACAAUGGGGGAAACCCUGAUCCAGCCAUUCCGCGUGAGUGAAGAAGGCCUUCGGGUUGUAAAGCUCUUUCGCAAGGGAAGAAAUUUUAUUGUCUAAUAAACAGUAGAGAUGACGGUACCUUGAGAAGAAGCACCGGCUAACUACGUGCCAGCAGCCGCGGUAAUACGUAGGGUGCGAGCGUUAAUCGGAAUUACUGGGCGUAAAGCGUGC
rnacentral:rRNA from 1 species